rnacentral:lncRNA from 1 species
CCGGCCCCGGCCCCGGCCCGGCUCCGCUAAGUUUUGCAAGCGCCUGGGCUGCGCGUGGCCGCCGGCAUCCUACCCUGGGUGUCCUGACUCCGAGGGGCCGCCGAGAGGGGCGGAGGGUUCACCCUUUCGGUCUCUCGUCGCCUCCCGGGUCUGGCCGCGGGGGUCUUCUAACAGCCUGGACUCUGUUCUCUGCCUCCUUUUGUCCCUCUCAUUUCUGCCUUUGCUUCCACACCCAGCGAGAUGCAGCGCCCAGUCCAAAACUUGAGUUCUUUACUCAAACUACAAAGUGAGUUUACUACCGAGAGAGAAAAACUUAAAGGGCCAAAUCUUAUGAGAAAAUUGUAGUAUAUUUUUAGUAGCGAGUGUGGAAUACCAGUGCUUCUCAAACUUUAAUAUGCAUCCGGCACACUUGACGAUCUUGUGAAAAUACUGACUCUUUGAUUCAGUAGAUCUGGCGUGGAGCCUCAGUUUCUGCAUUUUUACCAUCGUGGCUGAUUCCAAGGCUGAUGAUCCUGGAGCCACAGGUGUGAUAACAAAGGCUCACAAAAAUCAAGUUUUAAGCCCCAAGUCCCGCAGUGAAUGAGCAGCAGAGCUGCAGCUCGUCUCAGUCCUGUGAAUCGCACCAUGGCCUGGAAGGAAAAGUUUAGGGCAAUAUAACCCUCUACAAACAACCUUCCGAAGCAGGACGAGUGUUUUCACAAAGCUUCAUGGAAUGUCGAAGUGCAGGAACAAAAUAUUUUAGCUGGAAAAAUAACACGUAGCCAGAAAUCAACCCCAAUCCUACCAAAAAUAAUGAUGCCAGGAAACAGAGCUACAUACACAAAAGGGAAUGUGUACCAGGAUACACAUAAUAAAGUCACCUUGGCAAAGCUGGUGUCCUGGCCAAGCCAGAGGAGUGAUUCAAUUUAAGAGAGAAUUGGAAGGAGGACAUGUGCCCUAGCUAGUCCAUCGGAAGAAGUGUGCCAACCCACUGCCUUAUCACCAUAAGCCUGAUCAUAGCAAAACUACAGAGUAGUUAAAAUGAAAAUUUCCAAGGUAGAAGAAGAUCAGGCAGUGGUAAUACUGGAAGCUGGCUGCAUAAGCCAGUGGCUCAGAUCUCACAGUGCAGGGCCAAAGAAGACAAAGUUGAAGUCAAUACUGAUACGGGCCAGUUGGCUUUGCACUGAGGAGGCAAAAAGUUCUAUGGUCACUGACUAGAACCUUCAUCCCACUCAGUCAUCCUGCCAAUGCUGGUGUUUGGGGUCAAAAAGGGAUUGGGAAAGAGUGUGGAAGACCUAUUUCCAGUGUUGACAAGCAGGGCUUACAUUCAGACAGAGAACGCCAAUACAGACAGUCAACUGU